rnacentral:rRNA from 1 species
UGCCAGACUCCUACGGGAGGCAGCAGUGGGGGAUAUUGCACAAUGGGGGAAACCCUGAUGCAGCGACGCCGCGUGGGCGAAGAAGUAUUUCGGUAUGUAAAGCCCUAUCAGCAGGGAAGAAAAUGACGGUACCUGACUAAGAAGCCCCGGCUAACUACGUGCCAGCAGCCGCGGUAAUACGUAGGGGGCAAGCGUUAUCCGGAUUUACUGGGUGUAAAGGGAGCGUAGACGGCGGCGCAAGUCCGGAGUGAAAGCCCACGGCCCAACCGUGGGACUGCUCUGGAAACUGUGCGGCUUGAGUGCGGGAGGGGCAGGCGGAAUUCCUAGUGUAGCGGUGAAAUGCGUAGAUAUUAGGAGGAACACCAGUGGCGAAGGCGGCUUGCUGGACAGAGACUGACGUUGAGGCUCGAAAGCGUGGGGAGCAAACAGGAUUAGAUACCCUUGUACAA